rnacentral:rRNA from 1 species
GUAAACGGCGGCCGUAACUAUAACGGUCCUAAGGUAGCGAAAUUCCUUGUCGGGUAAGUUCCGACCUGCACGAAUGGCGUAACGAUGGCGGCGCUGUCUCCACCCGAGACUCAGUGAAAUUGAAAUCGCUGUGAAGAUGCAGUGUAUCCGCGGCUAGACGGAAAGACCCCGUGAACCUUUACUGUAGCUUUGCACUGGACUUUGAGCCUGCUUGUGUAGGAUAGGUGGGAGGCUUUGAAGCGUGGACGCCAGUUCGCGUGGAGCCAUCCUUGAAAUACCACCCUGGCAUGCUUGAGGUUCUAACUCUGGUCCGUGAUCCGGAUCGAGGACAGUGUAUGGUGGGCAGUUUGACUGGGGCGGUCUCCUCCUAAAGAGUAACGGAGGAGUACGAAGGUGCGCUCAG